UUAAUGAAGCAUACUCGGAAG
rnacentral:tRNA from 2 species